AGGGUAUUUAACACUCGUCACCAACCCCUGACAUCAAACAGUGUGAAUAUCAUCGUUGUUAUGAUAAUGUCGGAUAAUAGACAAUGUGGUGUAGUCCUAACUGUUUUACUUAUUAUAGAGAUUGUAGCAGGUCAAACAUACAGUUUAUCAGGAUCAGAACCAUAUGGUAUUAGAGGAGGGGAUUAUAGAUUUACAUGUGAGAUAUCCGGUAGACAUUUUCUAUCCUUUAAUGUCAUCACGUUAAGCAGGGACAAUAUCUCAAUCUGUAGACGAGGAUUAUAUGUUCUACCUGGAUCUGAUACCAGAUAUAGAUGUGGUCGUAUCAAUGGUAACAACGAAUUAGUGUAUCUUAAUAUAACUAAUGUUCAAUCAACUGAUGCUGGUAACUGGACCUGUGGAGAUUCUGGUGUCAGUAGCCAACCUGUUACUCUUCUGGUUUAUUAUCCACCAACCAUCACAGGUCUAACAUCAAAUGCUACCAACAACAUGGUAGAUGAAGAUUCUACUGUAACCUUCUCCUGUUCUGUUGACAGUCUUCCAUCUUCAGAAAUAUCCUGGUCUAGAUCACAACAAGCAGGACAACUCUAUUCUGGUAGUCAAUAUACCAUACCUUAAGCUAGCUGUCAACAUACAGAUAACUAUACCUGUACAGCUAAUAAUAAUAUUGGUCAAGUUGUAUCGAAAACCAUUCCACUCUAUGUUAGAUGUUCUCCGCGAGAAAACAUAGAAAACAAGAGGAUCAUCACUAAUAGAAUAAAUACAACAAUAUAUCUGGAAGUUGAUAUAAUCGCCUACCCUCGACCAUACUUUACCUGGUACCAUACACCUACCAGACAGAUAAUAAAAACAGCUAUAACGCAACAACUAUCAACUAUAAACUAUAAAUCAACAGUAGAGAUAACUCUAAACUCUACUCUAUUUGGUGAUUAUAUAGUAUCUGUAUACAAUGGUAUUGGUGUUCAGAACUUCACUAUUACAGUUAACAAUGAAGGACCACCAAAGCCAGUAAAGGAUCCAGUCGGAAGUAAUAACACAUCUACUAUAGUUGGAAGUAUUAUUGGUGUAUUGAUAGUUAUUGCUAUAAUAGUUGUUAUUGUUGUGAUAAUAUACCGUAGAAAGGCGUCAAAAGCUCAUUAUAAUACGUACGAUGGACUUGGAGUUGUCCCCAGUUCAACCAAUCAACCUGUUUAUGAUGAAAUGUAUUCCUAUACAACUAGAUCUGAUGAUACACCAGCCUACUAUAAUACUACAAAAGUGGAUAUUACUAACACCACAUACGUCAAUUCCCCGUCAUUGACAUAUGUACUGGAUGUACGAAAUAAUGAAGCACACCCAGACACUUAUCAACAACUCAAUACAUCAUCAACACAUAACAUCUAUGAAAACCAGGAAAUGUGAUCAACUAUCAAAUUGGUGAUGUUAAUGAUUGUAUGUAGAGUAUUAAUAUGUACUCCGCUAUCUAGAUGUUAAGAAUGUUAUGUUAACAACAUGAACGUGUACUCCACUAUCUGGAUAUCGAGAACGUAAUUUUAAUAACAUACAUGUGCACUCCGCUAUCUAGAUGUUAAGAAUGUUUUUUAACAACAUGCACGUGUACUCCGCUAUCUAGAUGUCAAGAAUGCGUUAUUUUAAAACAUGCACGUGUACUCCGUUAUCUACAUGUUGAUAACGCAAUUUUAAUAACGUGCACGUGUACUCCGCUAUCUAGAUGUUCAGAAUGUGUUAUUUUAAAACAUGCACGUGUACUCCGUUAUUUAGGUAUUGAGAACGCAAUUUUAAUAACAUGCACGUGUACUCCGCAAUGUAGAUGUUCAGAAUGUGUUAUUUUAAAACAUGCACGUGUACUCCGUUAUUUAGGUAUUGAGAACGCAAUUUUAAUAACAUGCACGUGUACUCCGCAAUGUAGAUGUUAAGCAUGUUACUUGAACAACAUGAACAGGUACCCCUCUCUCUGCCUUAAGUUAUGAAUGUAAGUUUAGGGAUAUAAUCAGGAUCUCCAGAGCAAGCGUUUUCACCUCGCUAUAACUGUGGGUUAUACCAAUAUAUCUAACGACAUCGUGUAAACUACGAUAAUAUUGUUGUUUUGUCAGUCUUAUUAAAUUGUUUGUAUUUCAAAAUAAACAGGCGUGGUCCCUCUAA